GAUGAACGCUGGCGGCGUGCCUAAUACAUGCAAGUCGAGCGAACAGACGAGGAGCUUGCUCCUCUGACGUUAGCGGCGGACGGGUGAGUAACACGUGGAUAACCUACCUAUAGGACUGGGAUAACUUCGGGAAACCGGAGCUAAUACCGGAUAAUAUAUUGAACCGCAUGGUUCAAUAGUGAAAGACGGUUUUGCUGUCACUUAUAGAUGGAUCCGCGCCGCAUUAGCUAGUUGGUAAGGUAACGGCUUACCAAGGCAACGAUGCGUAGCCGACCUGAGAGGGUGAUCGGCCACACUGGAACUGAGACACGUUCCAGACUCCUACGGGAGGCAGCAGUAGGGAAUCUUCCGCAAUGGGCGAAAGCUUGACGGAGCAACGCCGCGUGAGUGAUGAAGGUCUUCGGAUCGUAAAACUCUGUUAUUAGGGAAGAACAAAUGUGUAAGUAACUAUGCACGUCUUGACGGUACCUAAUCAGAAAGCCACGGCUAACUACGUG
rnacentral:rRNA from 1 species